rnacentral:lncRNA from 1 species
CUGAAACCCUGCGAAACACGUUCACGUGUUUUCGGGAAACUACCAGAAUGGCUUUUUACCAAAGCUUUACCAUUGAAGUUUGUGUUUUAUUGUCAUAACGAAGUAUUUUUUCAAAGUCGUAAUGAGGAGAACCAAGUUACAAGGCUAGGUUUGAAAGAGCUACCUGAAAACUGAAGAAGCCUAAUCAUCUACUCUGCUGACAUUGAUGCAGAUGCUGACUACUACUAGGGGAAAGAGCCCUGCCAUCACAUCGCCGCCCCACCUGAGCGCAUUUGUCAUCCCGACGAUUUGCUUUAUGAGUCCCAGCCUCAGCCUCCCG